rnacentral:rRNA from 1 species
GACGAACGCUGGCGGCGUGCCUAAUACAUGCAAGUCGAACGAGAGCGACCGGUGCUUGCACUGGUCAAUCUAGUGGCGAACGGGUGAGUAACACGUGGGUAACCUGCCCAUCAGAGGGGGAUAACAUUCGGAAACGGAUGCUAAAACCGCAUAGGUUCUUGAGUCGCAUGACUGAAGAAGGAAAAGAGGCUUCGGCUUCUGCUGAUGGAUGGACCCGCGGUGCAUUAGCUAGUUGGUGAGGUAACGGCUCACCAAGGCCGUGAUGCAUAGCCGACCUGAGAGGGUGAUCGGCCACAUUGGGACUGAGACACGGCCCAAACUCCUACGGGAGGCAGCAGUAGGGAAUCUUCCGCAAUGGACGCAAGUCUGACGGAGCAACGCCGCGUGAGUGAAGAAGGAUUUCGGUUCGUAAAACUCUGUUGUUAGAGAAGAACAGCGCAUAGAGUAACUGUUAUGGGGGUGACGG